GAUGAACGCUGGCGGCGUGCCUAAUACAUGCAAGUCGAGCGAACGGACGAGAAGCUUGCUUCUCUGAUGUAGCGGCGGACGGGUGAGUAACACGUGGAUAACCUACCUAUAAGACUGGGAUAACUUCGGGAAACCGGAGCUAAUACCGGAUGAUAUUUUGAACCGCAUGGUUCAAAAGUGAAAGACGGUCUUGCUGUCACUUAUAGAUGGAUCCGCGCUGCAUUAGCUAGUUGGUAAGGUAACGGCUUACCAAGGCAACGAUGCAUAGCCGACCUGAGAGGGUGAUCGGCCACACUGGAACUGAGACACGGUCCAGACUCCUACGGGAGGCAGCAGUAGGGAAUCUUCCGCAAUGGGCGAAAGCCUGACGGAGCAACGCCGCGUGAGUGAUGAAGGUCUUCGGAUCGUAAAACUCUGUUAUUAGGGAAGAACAUAUGUGUAAGUAACUGUGCACAUCUUGACGGUACCUAAUCAGAAAGCCACGGCUAACUACGUG
rnacentral:rRNA from 1 species